rnacentral:Y_RNA from 1 species
GGCUGGUCUGAUGGUAGUGGAUUAUCAGAACUUAUUAACAUUGGUGUCACUAAAGUUGGUAUAUAGCCCCCCACCGCUAAAUUUGACUGGAAAG